GAUGAACGCUGGCGGCGUGCCUAAUACAUGCCAGUAGAACGCUGAAGGAGGAGCUUGCUCUUCUGGAUGAGUUGCGAACGGGUGAGUAACGCGUAGGUAACCUGCCUGGUAGCGGGGGAUAACUAUUGGAAACGAUAGCUAAUACCGCAUGACAACAGUUAUUGCAUGAUAACUGUUUAAAAGGGGCGACUGCUCCACUACCAGAUGGACCUGCGUUGUAUUAGCUAGUUGGUGAGGUAACGGCUCACCAAGGCGACGAUACAUAGCCGACCUGAGAGGGUGAUCGGCCACACUGGGACGGAGACACGGCCCAGACUCCUACGGGAGGCAGCAGUAGGGAAUCUUCGGCAAUGGACGGAAGUCUGACCGAGCAACGCCGCGUGAGUGAAGAAGGUUUUCGGAUCGUAAAGCUCUGUUGUAAGAGAAGAACGAGUGUGAGAGUGGAAAGUUCACACUGUGACGGUAUCUUACCAGAAAGGGACGGCUAACUACGUG
rnacentral:rRNA from 1 species